rnacentral:rRNA from 1 species
AAUAGAUACCCCGGUAGUCCACGCCGUAAACGAUGUCGACUUGGAGGUUGUUCCCUUGAGGAGUGGCUUCCGGAGCUAACGCGUUAAGUCGACCGCCUGGGGAGUACGGCCGCAAGGUUAAAACUCAAAUGAAUUGACGGGGGCCCGCACAAGCGGUGGAGCAUGUGGUUUAAUUCGAUGCAACGCGAAGAACCUUACCUACUCUUGACAUCCAGAGAACUUAGCAGAGAUGCUUUGGUGCCUUCGGGAACUCUGAGACAGGUGCUGCAUGGCUGUCGUCAGCUCGUGUUGUGAAAUGUUGGGUUAAGUCCCGCAACGAGCGCAACCCUUAUCCUUUGUUGCCAGCGGUCCGGCCGGGAACUCAAAGGAGACUGCCAGUGAUAAACUGGAGGAAGGUGGGGAUGACGUCAAGUCAUCAUGGCCCUUACGAGUAGGGCUACACACGUGCUACAAUGGCGCAUACAAAGAGAAGCGACCUCGCGAGAGCAAGCGGACCUCAUAAAGUGCGUCGUAGUCCGGAUUGGAGU